UCACUGAACCAGGUUUGCGAGACAGGCUGAUGACCCAACAGAAGUAAGAUUACAAGCAUGUGCCACUGCAUUCAGCUUUUCUGUGGACGCUGGGGGUUAAACCCAGGACUUCAUGUUUGUGUGCCAAGCACUUUCCUGACCAAUCCGUCUCCCCAGCCCCCAAACUGUUUUUCAUCGGUCCUCCUUUUUGUUUCCACGGUGUGCUUGAGGGACACCUUUCUCCUUUUGUCGCUUUUGUGCUGUCAUCAUGAAACACAAAUCUGGACUUGUCACUGGCCUGCCUCAGACCUGUCCACGUUCCUCCAAGGCUGACAAGUCAGGUUCACCAUUUCCGGUUUUAAAUUGGGGUCUUCGAUCCACUUCAAGUUGAUUUUUAUACAAGGUGAACGGCUAAUACUGACUCUGUGGAAUGAAUUUGGUAGUGUUUCAUCCCUUCCGAUUUUGUGGGAGAAAUUAAGAAGGAUCAACAUUAGAUUUUCCUUGAAUGUUUGAGAGAAUUUAUCAGUGAGUCCUGCUGGUCUCAGGCUUCUAUUUGUGAGUAGACUUUUGAUUACAGCUUUUAUCUCAUUGUUUGUAAUGAUUUGUUAUUUAUAUCUUCUAGAUUUAAUUGUAGUAGCUCAUAUGCAUUUAGAAAGCAUCCAGUUCCCCUGAAUUUUCCAGCUUUUUAGAGAACCUGGAAAACAUACAGUCUCUGCUUCUUGACUAAGGACUGCAAUGUGACCUCAUGUUCUUGUCAUCAAUGGUCCCAAUCACGAUGGACUGCACCCUCAAACUGUGAAGAAAAACAAACCUUCUUUUCUUAAGUUGUCUUUGUCAGGUAUGUUGACAUGUCAAAGACAAAGUGACUGAUACAGUAUGGCAUGCUUGUUUUCUCCAUAGUUGAUUAUGAGAACUCGUGAAUGAAGAGGGAGCGUACAGUGGCCUUGGGGUGUCCUGUUGUUCCAGACUGGAAUGAUCCCGAAUCCUUUGCCACUUAUCCAAGGCAUGUCUUACCAUUCAUCAUCAUCAUCUAUGACUCCCUGUUCAUGGUGUGCAGCCUGUGACCACUUCGGCAAGAAAUUGGGCAAGCCAGAAGCAUUUAUGGAAACACCUCCGGGGAUUCUUGCUUGCUAGUUGGGAAAUUUUGUGUGGCCUUAGAGUCCUCUGUACUCUCUGCCCCAAAAGUUCAGGCUUUUUGGGGCCAGUGUCCCAUUCUUGUCCUGGCACUGAGGAAUUUGGGGACUUAUGUGAGGCCUGAAUGUGAGGAGGUGGUAUCUAUACACAUAGGCCGGUUCAUACUCAAUCCUUGUAUUAAUUACUUUUCUUGUUUCUAUGAUAACGUACCUGACACAGAAACUUAAGGAAGACAUGUUUCAUUGUGGCUACCAUUUGAGGGUACAGUCCAUCAUAGCAGGGAAGCCAUGGCAGAGGUUCAGCUUUCUUCUUCCUCUUCAUUCAGUGAAGGUUUCCAGUCCAUAAAAACAGGACUGCCCACCUUUAGUGAGGGUCUUCUGAUCUCAGUUAAUACGAUAUAGAAACUCCCUCAUACACAUGCCCAGAGAUGUGUCUCCUUGCUGUUCUCAGUCCUGUUGUUGGUUAAUAGUAAUCAUCACAGAUGCACAAGGCUGUCCUCUGGAUGUGGGCCAGCAGACCCAACUAACGGGCUCUUGCCAUUGUUAGAGGCCUGGACAUGGAGUGCUUAGCACCCGCCUCCCUGGUGGGGCUGUAUUUUAUCCCUUCUCUUGCACUUGUUCAUAUCAGGUGGAUUAGGGAGCUCAGAAAAUGGUUCUCUCUGCUUUCGUAAGAUAGGGCAGAGUUAUAUGCUUGCACAUAAUCUCUUUUCUGAGAAUAUUGUUCAAAAAA